UUUGUUAGCAGGUUCUGUUAUGGAGAAUGGCUGCUCAGCUCUUGGAAGGUGGUUAAGGGAGAGUUUUUUUUGAAGAAACAGUUAUGAGUUUGUUAGUUGGUUAGCAAUUCGGCUGGGUCGGUUAGGUUGAGAAGUUGGAAUGGAGAGAUUCGGUUAGAGAUUUUCGAAGGUUCGUUUCUUUGGAAGUGUUAUAAUGAGAAGCUCGUUUUCUGCAGGUUUUCUGUUUGGAUGGAUUGGCUUGUGAAGUUUUUGGAGGUUUUCCGUUAGAAGUUGUGGGUCUAUCAGCAGGUUUUUGUUAGGUGUUUCUUCUUUUUGAUUUUAGCAGUUGGUGUUUGGAAGUGACUUUGCCGGUUUUGUUUUCUUAUGCAGGUUCUUUCAAUCUGUUUUUUCAUGUUCUCCCUGUUACCAUGUGAAGGGGGAUUUUAUUCUGCUGGAGAUUCGAAGAAGUGAUUGGAAAGGGUCAUAUUUUGGUCAUUAUGUGGUGUAUUUUUGUGAUGAUAUCCAUUUUGUGUCGGUUGGUUAUAAUUUUAGAGGGGCUUUUUAUUGUAAUUUUGUAGUUAUUGUAAUUUGAAGUUGGACUAGGGAUUUAUGGUUCUUUGCAUUGGAAUUGGUUUGUCGAAAAUGGACUCGGAUUUUGAGUUUGUUAUAGCUUGAAUUUGAUA
rnacentral:lncRNA from 1 species